rnacentral:tRNA from 1 species
GGGCCUGUAGUCCAAUGGUAGAACACGUCGUUUGCAACGAUGAAAUCCGGGUUCGAUUCCCGGCAGGUCCA